GCGAGGUGACGAUAUAAAUUCAUUAAUCUGUCAAUCCGCUGAUACUGGAAACAGUCUGAUGUUAUAUGAAUCCCGACAGGUUCCGAUCGC